UGUGCGUGGAGAAAAUUUAUUUUUUAAGGUUUAUAAAAGAAAGAAAAGAUUGAGAAAUUAAAAAAAAGGGCUCGGACUUUGAUUGUUUUUUUUGAGAGAUAGGUAGCACGCUACCCGCUUCGUUUAUUUUAUUUAGAAAUAAACUUAGCUAGAAAUGUGAAUCACCUAGGAUUCGAACUUGGGUCUCGGAUAUCAACCACCAAGUCCUUUGCCACUUGUUCUAGGGACGGUCGGUCUCAGACUUUGAUUGUUUUUCUCUCUUUCGUAGUUGUACUAGCUUUUUACUAAGAAGGCGAGUUUAUGAUAAAUAUUCGAUUUGAUGCUUCUAUAUAAAAUCUAAACAUGUCGAUAUCGAAGCGAGUACCGGAUCAACAGUUGAUAUCAGAGCGAAUUGCAAAUUCUCAAAAUCUUAUAUCAAAAUGAGUAUAAGAUUUCCAACAAACUAAUUAAGCAAUUGACAAUCAAAUUGACUAUGUUUGGCUCGGUUGAACCAAUUGAUUACGCAAACUAUUGGAAAUGACUGCCACCUUAAUUUCUAAGUAAAAUAAAAUAAUUAAUGUCAUUUUGUUUUUAAAAAAGCAGAAAACAUCUAGUUAAUUAACAACCUAGUAUUUCAAUGUUAUGAUUAAAAGUAUACACAUUUUCCUUUAAAAAAAAAAAAAGGUUCAUAUAUACUCUCAUAUUUGGAUAUAUACGUACGUGUACAUCUAUACAAUAUAUAAAAAAGCAAAUUAAUAUAUUUUUUGGAUCUGUCAUUUUUCUUUCCCAGAAUACUUCUAAUUAACUAUUUUUAUUUUUAAAACAAUUGUAGUUAAUAUUUUUUUAACCCUUUACACGACUCUACAGCUCACGUGGCUCCGGUAAUAUUUUUAAUUUAAUUUUAGUUCUUAAAACUAAUUUAAUUUAGUAAACCAAAUUUAAGAAAUUAAUUUAGUAUAAUCCUUUCUAUAUUUUAAUUAAAUUAGGCAAUUAUAAGCAAAUAUAAGUUUUAACGACAAAAAAGUUUUAUAAUCUACUUACAUUUAAUAGAUAGAUCUAAUUUAAUUAAAUCUACUAUCCUCAUUCCGAUGGUAUGCCAAAUUAGCGUUUUGCAGCGGAUAGAAACCGUAACAGUAAUUAAUAAUAUAAAAAUAUUAAACAUUUUCUUGUAUUUCUCAAUUGGUACAUCCACUAAAGGCCUCUCACUAUUGGCGGGGAUAUGAGCCCGAUGAUGCUUUCUCCGGCGAUGGUGAUAGUGACGGCGACAACGAUCCCUCCAACCGUGGCGGAAGGGAAAAGUGGGUUCGUGUGAGAGAGAGAGGGAGCGAGGGAAGGAGGCGAUGAUGUAUAGCAAAAUAUGAGAGAUACAGAAUUGAUGAAUAGAUUGAAGAUAAAAAAUUAAAGGUCCGGUGGAAGAAAGGAAAAAAAAGAUGAUGAAUAAUUAGAGAUAGAGAGGUUAGGAUUGUAGAUGGGAAUGAGACCAUUUAAAUAUACUAAUUAAAAUUUUGGUAGUGGAACCGUUUGCAUUAAUUAAAAAUAUAAUGGAGGGAAGGGAAGUGGUCAUGUUGAAUAACUGUAGAUAGAAACGAUACAAUUGUAAAUGGUAGUAGGACCAUUUAAAUACACUAAUUGAAAGUUUGGUUAGUGAGACCGUUAAAAUGCAUAUUGAAAAUUUGGUGUAGGGAAGAAGAAGAGUCACAUAUUAGUGAGGGGGAAGGAGAACUUGCCCCGUGGCAAUAAACAUUAGGAAUUCAUUUAGAUUAUUAUUAUUAUUAUUAAUAGAUUUAUAGAUAAUUAAAUAAUAUAUAUUAUAUAUAAAAUUAAAUUUUACAAAAUAGAUAAAUACAUUUAUUUUAUAUAUUUAUGUUUUUUAAGCAAAGCACGCGUUGCGCGAGCACUUUGACUACUAUAUGCAAGAAAUUAUAUAUAACAUAAUUUCAAUUAAUUCGGUUAUUUUCAAUUAGAUUUGAUUGAAAAAGCAUUGAAAAAUAAAACUAAAACCAAGAAACCUGAAUUUAGUUAAAUCGAAAAUAGAACCAAAGAAAAAAUCUAUUAAAUUGAACCGAAAUUCAUAAUUAGUAUUUGUUUGGUUUAAUUUUCAGUUUGUAAUUAAACUAUGAACACUCUUAACAAAUUACAGCUCAUUUUACAGUUUGUAAUAUUUCAAAAAGUCUUCUAUAUCUGUUAUUCUUAUUCAAAUUAUCGCCGUGCAAAUUAAGUCGAAGAGUUGUAAGAGGUGUGGGCGAAGUUAUGGAAUCAUCGUAAAUUUCUAACUAGGCAUGUUAUAGUACUUUGUCGCUUAGUAGGAGUUUUCGUUCCCACAUAUAUGUAAAUACUUGAUAGGAUUCAUAAUCAAUCAAUGCGUUAACAAGAAAAUAUAGGAUGAUAGUAACCCCUAAAUCGAAAUGGCAUGAUUAAUUGGUAGUAAAUUUGUGAGCACGAAAUGGCAUGAUUAAUUUCAAAUGCUCUAAAUUAUAUUUAACGAUAUCGAUCAUUAAUUCAAAAGCUCAAUCAUGAAAAAUGUCUUAUGUCUCUAUACUCAUAAGAGUAUAUAUAAUAACUCUACUAUCAUGGAUUUAAGUGCCGUGGCACAGAAUCGCGCCGGAAAUUUACCGGCAUGAUGCGUGCCGGAUUGUACCGAUACGUGCCGAUCAUAAAAAGUACAUGUGUGCCGACACAUAAUGGCAUGAAAUAUUUGUUUUCUUUAGCAACAAAGUGUUAUAGAGGUUUAUUAUGUAUCAUUAUCAAAUAUUUUGAACUUUAUUGAAAAAAUUAAUCACUUACUAAUUUGAAGAAUAGAAGGUUUUGAACUUUGCCAUCGGUACGGGGGCUGUAUCGUUCCGAUAUCUUGUUAACACGAUAUGAAGUGGUAGAUACGGUAUGUGCCGAUGGGCACUUAAAUUUUUGCCUACUAUAUAUACAUAUAGAGAGAGAGAGAGAGAGUAGGGUUACUAUAUUCUUACGAGUAUAGAGUCCUUCGUACUCAUAAAUUAUUUUUGAUGUUGGGGCUUCUGAAUCAACAAUCCACUCCGUUAAUUAAAUAUAAUCUAGGGUACUUAAAACUUCUGAAAAAUAAAUUUUGUAAUUUUUUAAAAUCAUAAUAAAGUCCAAGUCAUUGGUACUAUUGCGCCAACUCAUUAGUACUGUUAAGUUUUUAACCCUUGGAUGAAGGUAUGUUUAUCAUCUUCUUAGGGUUGAGUGAGUGAUUGGUUAAAUAAUAUAAUCUAACAGAUAGAAAUGGUCAAAGACGUAAAUCUAAUGGUGAAAAUUUGGUAGUAUCAAAAAUUUGGUACUAUCUAACGGAUAUAACUGGUCAAAGACGUAUAUCUAACUAUGAAAAAUUUGAUAGCAAAGAAACUUGGUGCUAUUAAAAACAUCUAAUCGGACUCUCACUCUCUCUCUCUCUCUCUCAAUAUAUAUAUAUAUAUAUAUAACACAUCUGAAAUGCUAUAAACAUGUGAAAAAGAACGAUUCCUAACGUAAAGCCUAAUAAUUUAUGUAGGUAAUUAACUAAGGAGAAGCCUAGGUUGGGUGCAAUGUCCUUAUAUAAUGGCGUGUUGGGCCCUAAGCUGCUUCCGUUACGUUGCAGUUAUGCGACAUUAAUCAUUUCUCGAAUUUGUCCCCUCAUUUAUGAUUUCUCUUACACACACACACACACAUAUAUAUAUAUAUAUAUAUANAUAUAUAUAUAUAUAUAUAUAUAUAUAUAUAUAUAUAUAUAUAUAUAUAUAUAUAUAUAGUUGGUGGUUCCCACCCCUAAAAUCCGGGACCCCAGAUCACGUCUUUUUUUUGCCAAAAAGAAAUAUAACAGGAGACACUACAACAGAAUUAGAUUAUAGAGACACAUAUUUAAAACAUUUUGUAUAAGUGUCAUAUUUAUGCCAAAAUUAAAAAAAAAACGUACUAAUACUUAAAUAUAAAGUCCAAUCAAAUCAAAAAUAAAAGGAUACUCUACUCAAUCCACCCCAUCCAGCCUAUUCGGCCCGAUUAUAAACAAAAAAGAAAAAGAAAAAAAAAAGAAAAGAAAAAUCGAUUAUUAUUUCUCCUUCUCCCCUCAUUCAAUCGACUGAAAUCCUAAACGAAGAUCCCCUCAUCUCGUCCUCCUCCGUCACCGCAGCCAACGGGAUAGAGUUCCGACGGUUGCUAGAUGCUUAAAUAAAUACUGAUAAAUUAGCAGCACUCUUUUAGAUUAUAGUAACACUCUUAACUGUCACUAUAUACCUAGCGACCCCACAUAUAGCAACACUUUUUAAAAGUGUCGGUAAUUUAACCGGCAGCACUUUUUUUGACUUAUACCGAUAUUUAAAAGUGUCGCUAUAGACCGUUUUUGUUGUAGUGAGAUAUAAUACGCAAUUAAUAAGAUUAGAUAUUUUUCUGCCUAAUUGCUGGAUCUAAUACCUUGUUCCCACCGAAUGAUAUUUCCAUGAUUUUUUUUUUUUCUUAAAAGGGAAUUGUGUGGGAGGCUUUUGAUUACCUUACAAUGCGCUCCAAAAUACCACAUAGAUUCAUCAACAUAUUUAGAAUAUAUGAAAACAUUGUAUUGUGAAAAUUUUUUGGUAACACUCAUUUAUCUAUUGUUUGAAACCGUGCCCCAAAUUAAUAUUACACAAUCAUUCUCUCGACUUCAGAGACAAAUUGGUUGCAUUCAGUUACAAUUAUACUAUAAUUGUAACUAUGUACAAAUACAAAUUUAGUAUUUAAUUACAUGUAUUUAACUUCAACUGUUAUAAUAGGAUCUGCAAGAAAAAGCCCAACUGUAGCAGUUGGAACUACACUCAAAUUCACAGCAGUUCCAACUGCAGCAGUCGGAGAGAGUAAUUUUAAGCAAAAAUUAAGCUUACCUCCCUAAUUAUCUUUUAAACAAAAAAUAUUUUUCAUUUUUUACAAUGGAGAUAAUUGUACAAUCAUAUAUAUAUAAUAAUAAAAUUUAAAAAAUCAUUUCUCAACUGCAAAUAACCAAACAAAUUAUUUAUAAUUGCAGCGCUUUCUACUAUAUCCAACCAAACAAAAUACAUGUAGUUAUAAUUACUAUCUUUUCUUUUUUGAGAGAUAGAUAGUACGUUACCUGUUUCGUUUAUUUUAUUUAGAAAUAAACUUAGCUGGAAAUGUGAAUCAACUAGGAUUCGAACUUGGGACAUCGGAUAUCAACCAUCAAAUUCUUUGCCACUUAAUUGCUCUAGAAACGAUCGGUAUAUAAUUACUGUAUAUUCAAUCGUAUAUAUUUUCAACUGCACUGUAUUUAUAAUUAUAUCUAAUCAAAUCAAUACUGCCUCUGAUAAAUGAUAAAAUGGAAUGUAGAAAAUAUUAGAAGAAAAAAAAAAAGAAAAGAAAAAAAAGAGAGGGGGGUAGACGACAAAUUGUCCUCUAUCAUGAGCACAGUGGUUAAGUUGGAAGUUUCAAAGAGUUUUGAAGUGGCACUUUCUCAUUCAUUCUAGAUUAACGUACAAAAAGAGGCAAAUUAAUUUAAUUUUAAUUGGAACCUUCGAGCGGGACGCGCGCAUCCACCAAUCGCAUUAAUGCGCAGAACAUCGAUCUCUGGUUAGGUUAGGUUCGCGGGGCCAGGCGUGAUGUGGACCGUUCGAUACGGGGAAGCUCCACCGUCUCUAUCUUACGCAGGGGGUUCUAAAAGUCCGACUUCACGGCCACCAAUACAGCAUGGGUUUGUUUGGUUUUGCUCAAACUUUUAUUUUUAUUUUUAUUAUCAUUUUUGUUUGGGUUUCUAUUUUUUUGUUUAAGUUGUGUAAGACUUCGUUUAAAAUUGUAGACAAAAUGUACAGACUUGCGAUGGGAAAGUACGGGAAAAAAUGUUAGAGUUUUUUUUUUUUUUUUUUUGAGAGAUAGGUAGCACGCUACCCGCUUCGUUUAUUUCAUUUAGAAAUAAACUUAACUGGAAAUGUGAAUCAACUAUGAUUCAAACUUAAGACUCGAGUGCCAACCACCAAGUCCUUUGCCACUUGCUCUAGGGGUGGUCGGUAAUAUGUAAGAGUUAAUUGUACACAGAUCAUGAAUUAUAAAUAUAUUUUUACAAAAUUCAACUUUCAUAUAUUAUUCUUGUAAAGUCCUAAUACUUUCAAAUAUGUCCCUGUCGUUAGAAUUCGUUAGAAAAUUUUAGUUAACCAUAUGUUAAAUACUUAAUUCCGAUUAGUUUAUGAGAUAACUUGAUAUUUUUAUCCAUCUUAUAUGAAAAUAUAAACGGUUCUCUAACGGUAACAAACCAGAGGAAAAUAUUUGAAAAUAUUAGAACUUUUAUAAAAAUAAUAUAUAAAAGUUGAAUUUUGUAGAAAUAUAUUUGCAGGGACCUACCUCUAUGCAAUUAACCCAAUAU
rnacentral:lncRNA from 1 species